CUACGGGGGGCACCAGUGGGGAAUAUUGCACAAUGAGCGAAAGCUUGAUGCAGCCAUACCGCGUGUGUGAAGAAGGCCCGAGGGUUGUAAAGCACUUUCAAUUGGGAGGAAGAUAGAGUAGUUAAUACCUGCUUUAUUUGACGUUACCUUUAGAAGAAGCACCGGCUAACUCUGUGCCAGCAGCCGCGGUAAUACAGAGGGUGCAAGCGUUAUUCGGAAUUACUGGGCGUAAAGCGCGCGUAGGCGGAUUAGUAAGUCAGUUGUGAAAGCCCUGGGCUCAACCUAGGAACUGCAUCUGAUACUGCUAGUCUAGAGUUUAGUAGAAGGAAGGGGAAUUCCAGGUGUAGCAGUGAAAUGCGUAGAUAUCUGGAGGAACAUCAGUGGCGAAGGCGCCUUCCUGGACUAAAACUGACGCUGAGGUGCGAAAGCGUGGGUAGCGAACGGGAUUAGAUACCCUAGUAGUC
rnacentral:rRNA from 1 species